UCUUCCUCUCGUUCUCUCACACGCCGUCGAUCUCUUUAAUUCCAGAUUUUCCUUCCACCCAGAAAAACUCUCUUACUCUGGAUUUCUCAGACCUUUUCUAGUUAAUUUCUUUGGAUAUUGUUCAAUUUGAUUUUCCAGAUUUGGAUCGGUAAGGUUCUUCAACACCUUUUCUUUCCGAUUACCAUCACUGCAUUUCGGUUUUUCCUUUCGAUUUUUGUGGUUUUGGUUGUACUUUUUUAUUUUAGGAUCAGACUAUUAUUGAAAUCUAAGGCUUAUUCAUUUCUGGACAGUUUGAGUUUGAAAAAGCUGCGAAUUAGGCUUCAAUUUUGGACAUUUGGUUUUUGUUAUUGAAUGCUGUAUCAGAAGCUUACUUUUUUGAAGGGGAGUGGAUUGAUUGGUAGUGGAGAUGUGGAAUUGAAUCAAGCUCUUCUAAGUAGGAGGUAUGAAAUUGGGAGCAAAUUGGGAUUGUGAAUUUUUUAGGUUCAGUUAGGUUGUGAAAAAUUGUCUUUUUGGGAUUUCAUUGUGGCAGCAAUCAUGGGUUUAUUGAUCUUAUUGGUGUUUUUCU
rnacentral:lncRNA from 1 species